CCUGCCCCUAGAGGCAUUGCAGGUGUGGCUGCUGUGUCACAUGUGCAUCAGAAGAUAGCAGAGAGGACAGAGGCCAUGUCUACACUCUGUUCUGACCUGUGUGCAUCUGAAUGCUAGUAGCCUAACAUA